GCGUGCAAAAUGCAAUCACUUUAACAAACAUGGAUGUUUAAGCAAAUAACAUGCUGUAAUGUUAUUGUUUUAGUUGAAUAAAUCCUAUUUAAAUUGUUAUUAUUAAGGUAAUGAUUAUUUUUCUCCUUCCUA